rnacentral:rRNA from 1 species
UACGUAGGGGGCAAGCGUUGUCCGGAUUUAUUGGGCGUAAAGAGCGUGUAGGCGGCCUGAAAGGUCAGCUGUGAAAACUCGAGGCUCAACCUCGAGACGUCGGUUGAAACCAUCUGGCUAGAGUCCGGAAGAGGAGUGUGGAAUUCCCGGUGUAGCGGUGAAAUGCGCAGAUAUCGGGAGGAACACCGGUGGCGAAGGCGGCAUCCUGGACCGAUACUGACGCUGAGGAGCGAAAGCCAGGGGAGCAAACGGG